rnacentral:rRNA from 1 species
UACGUAGGCAGCGAGCGUUGUUCGGAGUUACUGGGCGUAAAGCGUGCGUAGGCGGUGGUCCAAGUCUGGUGUGAAAUCUCCCGGCUUAACUGGGAGGGUGCGCCGGAAACUGGGCCGCUGGAGUACGGGAGAGGCAAGCGGGAAUUCCAGGUGUAGCGGUGAAAUGCGUAGAUAUCUGGAGGAACACCCGUGGUGCAGACGGCUUGCUGGACCGUGACUGACGCUGAGGCACGAAAGCGUGGGUAGCAAACAGG